rnacentral:rRNA from 1 species
UAGGGAAUCUUCCACAAUGGGCGCAAGUCUGAUGGAGCAACGCCGCGUGAGUGAAGAAGGUCUUCGGAUCGUAAAGCUCUGUUGUUGGUGAAGAAGGAUAGAGGCAGUAACUGGUCUUUAUUUGACGGUAAUCAACCAGAAAGUCACGGCUAACUACGUGCCAGCAGCCGCGGUAAUACGUAGGUGGCAAGCGUUGUCCGGAUUUAUUGGGCGUAAAGCGAGCGCAGGCGGAAUGAUAAGUCUGAUGUGAAAGCCCACGGCUCAACCGUGGAACUGCAUCGGAAACUGUCAUUCUUGAGUGCAGAAGAGGAGAGUGGAACUCCAUGUGUAGCGGUGGAAUGCGUAGAUAUAUGGAAGAACACCAGUGGCGAAGGCGGCUCUCUGGUCUGCAACUGACGCUGAGGCUCGAAAGCAUGGGUAGCGAACAGGAUUAGAUACCCUGGUAGUCCAUGCCGUAAACGAUGAGCGCUAGGUGUUGGGGACUUUCCGGUCCUCAGUGCCGCAGCAAACGCAUUAAGCGCUCCGCCUGGGGAGUACGACCGCAAGGUUGAAAC